rnacentral:rRNA from 1 species
UACGUAGGGCGCAAGCGUUGUCCGGAAUUAUUGGGCGUAAAGAGCUCGUAGGCGGUCUGUCGCGUCUGCUGUGAAAACUCGAGGCUCAACCUCGGGCUUGCAGUGGGUACGGGCAGACUAGAGUGCGGUAGGGGAGACUGGAAUUCCUGGUGUAGCGGUGGAAUGCGCAGAUAUCAGGAGGAACACCGAUGGCGAAGGCAGGUCUCUGGGCCGCAACUGACGCUGAGGAGCGAAAGCAUGGGGAGCGAACAGG